GGUCAAGCGAACAAGGGCGCAGGGCGAAUGCCUUGGCACUGGGAGCCGAUGAAAGACGUGAUAAGCUGCGAUAAGCUUCGGGGAGCUGCAAAUAAGCAUUGAUCCGGAGAUUUCUGAAUGAGGAAACUCACCUGGGUUCAUACUCAGGUACGUUAUACUGAACUUAAAAAUAGGUAUAUCGAGGGAACCGCCUGAACUGAAACAUCUAAGUAGGGCGAGGAAGAGACAUCAAACGAGAUUCCGUAAGUAGUGGCGAGCGAACGCGGAAGAGGGCAAACCGGGAGUAGAAAUACUUCCGGGGUACGGACUGCUUUUAGGACUUAAUCUGUUAACCGAACGGCAUGGGAAGGCCGGUCAGAGAGUGUGAGAACCACGUAGGUGAAAACGGAGAGAGCUGCGCAGGAUCCAGAGUACGGCCAGACACGUGAAACCUGGUCGGAAUACGGGGGGACCACCCUCCAACCCUAAAUACUACCCAGUGACCGAUAGCGUAUAGUACUGUGAAGGAAAGGUGAAAAGCACCCCGGGAGGGGAGUGAAAAAGAACCUGAAACCCUGUGCCUACAAGCACCUAGAGCACGUCAAAGUGUGAUAGGGUACUUUUUGUAGAACGGUCCGGCGAGCGAUUGUAUGCAGCAAGGUUAAGGACUUAAGGUCUGGAGCCGAAGCGAAAGCGAGUUUGAAAAGGGCGUUAAGUUGCAUACAAUGGGCCC
rnacentral:rRNA from 1 species